rnacentral:rRNA from 1 species
AGUGAACGCUGGCGGUAGGCCUAACACAUGCAAGUCGAACGGCAGCACAGUAAGAGCUUGCUCUUACGGGUGGCGAGUGGCGGACGGGUGAGGAAUACAUCGGAAUCUACUUUUUCGUGGGGGAUAACGUAGGGAAACUUACGCUAAUACCGCAUACGACCUACGGGUGAAAGCAGGGGAUCUUCGGACCUUGCGCGAUUGAAUGAGCCGAUGUCGGAUUAGCUAGUUGGCGGGGUAAAGGCCCACCAAGGCGACGAUCCGUAGCUGGGCUGAGGGGAUGAUCGGCCACACUAGAACUAAGACACGGUCCAGACUCCUACGGUAGGCAGCAGUGGGGAAUAUUGGACAAUGGGCGCAAGCCUGAUCCAGCCAUACCGCGUGGGUGAAGAAGGCAUUCGGGUUGUAAAGCCCUUUUGUUGGGAAAGAAAAGCAGCAGGUUAAUACCCCGCUGUUCUGACGGUACCCAAAGAAUAAGCACCGGCUAACUUCGUG